rnacentral:rRNA from 1 species
UCCUGGCUGUAAACGUUGAGUGCUAGUUGGAAGGGAUUUCGGUCCAUUCUGACGCAGUGAAAACAUUAAGCACUCCGCCUGGGGAGUAUGGUCGCAAGGCUGAAACUCAAGGGAAUUGACGGGGGCUCACACAAGCGGUGGAGGAUGUGGCUUAAUUCGAGGCAACGCGACGAACCUUAUCCUGGAUUUGACAUGCAUGGAUUAACUUUAUGAAAGUAGAGCCACACCUUCGGGUGGAACAUGCACAGGUGCUGCAUGGCUAUCGUCAGCUCGUGUCGUGAGACGUCGCGUUAAGUCGCUUAACG